rnacentral:rRNA from 1 species
UACGGAGGGUGCAAGCGUUAAUCGGAAUUACUGGGCGUAAAGCGCACGCAGGCGGUUAGUUAGGUCAGAUGUGAAAGCCCCGUGCUCAACCUGGGAACUGCAUCUGAAACUGGUUAGCUUGAGUCUAGUGGAGGGGGGUAGAAUUCCAGGUGUAGCGGUGAAAUGCGUAGAGAUCUGGAGGAAUACCGGUGGCGAAGGCGGCCCCCUGGACAAAGACUGACGCUCAGGUGCGAAAGCGUGGGGAGCAAACAGG